rnacentral:rRNA from 1 species
GAUGAACGCUAGCGGCAGGCUUAAUACAUGCAAGUCGAGGGGCAGCACAGGUAGCAAUACUGGGUGGCGACCGGCAAACGGGUGCGGAACACGUACACAACUUACCUUAGAGUGGGGAUAGCCCAGGGAAACUUGGAUUAAUACCCCAUAAAACAGGGGGCCCGCAUGGGCAUAUUGUUAAAGAUUUAUCGCUUUAAGAUGGGUGUGCGUAUGAUUAGGUAGUUGGUAGGGUAAAGGCCUACCAAGCCGACGAUCAUUAACUGGUGUGAGAGCACGACCAGUCACACGGGCACUGAGACACGGGCCCGACUCCUACGGGAGGCAGCAGUAAGGAAUAUUGGUCAAUGGACGGAAGUCUGAACCAGCCAUGCCGCGUGAAGGAUGAAGGUCCUCUGGAUUGUAAACUUCUUUUAUAGGGGGCGAAAAAGGGCCAUUCUUGGUCAACUGACGGUACCCUAUGAAUAAGCACCGGCUAACUCCGUGCCAGCCGCCGCCGUAAAAC